CCAAAGGCUCUUUUCAGAGCCACCACCGACCCACAAAGGGGGCUGU
rfam:Canis lupus familiaris chromosome 14, whole genome shotgun sequence.